CGCUGGCGGCAGGCCUAACACAUGCAAGUCGAGCGCGAAAUCCCUUCGGGGUGAGUAGAGCGGCGGACGGGUGAGUAAUGCUUGGGAUCUGCCCAAUAGUGGGGGACAACGUGUGGAAACGCACGCUAAUACCGCAUACGUCCUACGGGAGAAAGCAGGGGAUCUUCGGACCUUGCGCUAUUGGAUGAGCCCAAGUCGGAUUAGCUAGUUGGUGGGGUAAUGGCUCACCAAGGCGACGAUCCGUAGCUGGUCUGAGAGGAUGAUCAGCCACACUGGGACUGAGACACGGCCCAGACUCCUACGGGAGGCAGCAGUGGGGAAUAUUGGACAAUGGGCGAAAGCCUGAUCCAGCCAUGCCGCGUGUGUGAAGAAGGCUCUAGGGUUGUAAAGCACUUUCAGUAGGGAGGAACGGUUGUUGAUUAAUACUCAACAAUUUUGACGUUACCUACAGAAGAAGCACCGGCAAACUCCGUGCCAGCAGCCGCGGUAAUACGGAGGGUGCGAGCGUUAAUCGGAAUUACUGGGCGUAAAGCGCGCGUAGGUGGUUUGAUAAGCUAGCUGUGAAAGCCCCGGGCUCAACCUGGGAACUGCAGUUAGAACUGUCUGACUAGAGUACAGUAGAGGGUGGCGGAAUUUCCUGUGUAGCGGUGAAAUGCGUA
rnacentral:rRNA from 1 species